GCGUAAGCGGCGGACGGGUGAGUAAUGUCUGGGAAACUGCCUGAUGGAGGGGGAUAACUACUGUAAACGGUAGCUAAUACCGCAUACCAUCAGAUGUGCCCAGAUGGGAUUAGCUAGUAGGUGGGGUAACGGCUCACCUAGGCGACGAUCCCUAGCUGGUCUGAGAGGAUGACCAGCCACACGGGAAAUGAGACAGGGUACAGAAUCCUAAGGGAGGCAGAAGUGGGGAAUAGGGCACAAUGGGCGCAAGCCUGAUGCAGCUAUGACGAGUGUGUGAAGAAGGCCUUCGGGUUGGAAAGCACUUGCAGCGGGGAGGCGGUACCCGAAGAAGAAGCACCGGCUAACGCCGUGCCAGCAGACGCGGUAAUAC
rnacentral:rRNA from 1 species